CGCGUAGGCGGCCUGGUGAGUCAGAUGUGAAAGCCCGGGGCUUAACCCCGGAAGUGCAUUUGAUACUGUCAGGCUUGAGUAUGGGAGAGGGAAGUGGAAUUCCUGGUGUAGAGGUGAAAUUCGUAGAUAUCAGGAGGAACACCGGUGGCGAAGGCGACUUCCUGGACCAAUACUGACGCUGAGGCGCGAAGGCGUGGGGAGCAAACAGGAUUAGAUACCCUGGUAGUCC
rnacentral:rRNA from 1 species